CCAUACGCCCUACCUCCACAUCAAAUACCAUCAUAUAAGGGAUUAGAUUUCAACAUAUGAAUUUGGGGCAGGGGCAGCACAUUCAGUUCAUUAACAACUGGCAGCAGAUAUAUUCAGCGUAUUCAAUAAUAUAUUCAAUGAAUAUAUAAUUACAUAUAUUAUAGUUUAUAUGAUAAAUUCAAUAAAUGAAUGGAUAACUCCUAUCCUAAAAUGCUCUACAGUACAUAUUUUUGUCUAAAUCCAAAAAAUGUUUUGCAUUGCAU
rnacentral:lncRNA from 10 species